rnacentral:tRNA from 1 species
GAUUAUUUAACUAUAUAUAAGUAUAUAUUUUGAAAAUAUAAAAAAGAACUUUUUCUAAUAAUC